rnacentral:rRNA from 1 species
UACGUAGGGUGCAAGCGUUGUCCGGAAUUAUUGGGCGUAAAGAGCUCGUAGGCGGUUUGUCGCGUCUGCUGUGAAAAUCCAGGGCUUAACCCUGGACCUGCAGUGGGUACGGGCAGACUGGAGUGCGGUAGGGGAGAUCGGAAUUCCUGGUGUAGCGGUGAAAUGCGCAGAUAUCAGGAGGAACACCUGUGGUGAAGACGGCUCUCUAGACCGCAACUGACGCUGAGACACGAAAGCGUGGGUAGCAAACAGG